UGACUCUGAAAAAGUGUAGUGAAUCGAAGCCGAAAGCCCCCAUAGCCCAUGACACACAGCGAUUUCACUCCAGCGAAAAAGGGAUCAGUGUACUGACUGUGUAAAUGAAAAUGGUUACUUUGCUGUGGGCUGAGCCGAGCUUCCACAGUAGCCGCACUCGGCAAGCGCGCGACUACGCUGGUCGCCGGCGCCUGCCUGCCUGUGCGUUCUGCCCUCGCCUCACUUCCCAUUCAAGAAACACUGGCGGCUCCCAGGAAACCCGGUCUUGAAUUUCACAAGUCAAAUUGAGGUCAAAAUGUAUUAAGAUCAAUGUUCAAGAAUAAGGCAAGGAGGAAGUUGAGGGAGCUGAAGCUAUCAUCUCUAAUUUUCUCUGUGAAUGAGGUAAUGUUCUCUGCCUAUGCCCAGUUUUCUCAGUCUAGCACUCUGAUAUUGUUCACGGAUAUUGAAGAACUAACAAAGAAGGAAAAGAAAACUAGAAACUUGAC